GUAGCUAAUACCGCAUAACGUCGCAAGACCAAAGAGGGGGACCUUCGGGCCUCUUGCCAUCGGAUGUGCCCAGAUGGGAUUAGCUUGUUGGUGGGGUAACGGCUCACCAAGGCGACGAUCCCUAGCUGGUCUGAGAGGAUGACCAGCCACACUGGAACUGAGACACGGUCCAGACUCCUACGGGAGGCAGCAGUGGGGAAUAUUGCACAAUGGGCGCAAGCCUGAUGCAGCCAUGCCGCGUGUAUGAAGAAGGCCUUCGGGUUGUAAAGUACUUUCAGCGGGGAGGAAGGGAGUAAAGUUAAUACCUUUGCUCAUUGACGUUACCCGCAGAAGAAGCACCGGCUAACUCCGUGCCAGCAGCCGCGGUAAUACGGAGGGUGCAAGCGUUAAUCGGAAUUACUGGGCGUAAAGCGCACGCAGGCGGUUUGUUAAGUCAGAUGUGAAAUCCCCGGGCUCAACCUGGGAACUGCAUCUGAUACUGGCAAGCUUGAGUCUCGUAGAGGGGGGUAGAAUUCCAGGUGUAGCGGUGAAAUGCGUAGAGAUCUGGAGGAAUACCGGUGGCGAAGGCAGCCCCCUGGACGAAGACUGACGCUCAGGUGCGAAAGCGUGGGGAGCAAACAGGACUAGAUACCCUGGUAGUCCACGCCGUAAACGA
rnacentral:rRNA from 1 species